rnacentral:lncRNA from 1 species
CAGCACUUAGAGAGCUUCCAGAUAGCCGAACAUAUGGGUGCUCCUGGAAGGUAGAGUGCCCAGGAAGGACAUGGAGACUCUCUACUCCUUCCCCCAUACCUUGCCCUACACAUCUCUUCAUUGGCACGGUGGCUCACGCCUGUAAUCGCAGCACUUUGGGAGACCAAAGCAGAUGAAUCACCUGAGGUCAAGAGUUCAAGACCAGCCUGGCCAACACGAAAGAAGCUCUCACAGUGGAAGACUAUAAUAUGACAUAAGAAGAAAUGUGGACUUGGAGAUACAGAAGACAGAGUUUUACUUUUGUUACCCAGGCUGGAGUGCAAUGGCGCAAUCCUGGCUCACCGCAACCUCCGCCUCCCAGGUUCAAGCAAUUCUUCUGCCUCAGCCUCCCGAGUAGCUGGGAUUAGAGACGGGGUUUCAUCAUGUUGCCCAGGCGGGUCUUGAACUCCUAAACUCAAACAAUCCACCUGCCUUGGCCUCCCAAAGUGCUGGGAUUACAGGUGUGGGCCAUCGUGCCCAGCCUCAUACCAUGGACUCUUACACAACAACAAAAAAGAAGAAUAUAGAAUAUAGAAAUCAGCAUUGAAAGAUCUCAAAAACAUACUAUGGAAUGACAAAAAGCCAAGUUUCAGAAUAAUAUAUACAGUGUAACAUUUAUAUAAAGACCGAAAACAUGCAAAACUAUGUAUUCUUUAUAAAAACAUCUAUCUAUACUGAAAAUAUAGAAACAAGAGUAGGAAUGAUGAACACCAAAUUCACAACAGUGGUUACCUCUGGUGGAGACAGGGUACAAGGGUACACAGUGGGCUUCAAUUAUACACAAUAUUUUAUUACUUGAGUGGGGCUGUAAGGGUUGAUUAUAUUGUUUUCUAUAUAAUAUUGUGUGCUGGCAACAUUUCAUAACAAGGAAAAAAGGAAGAAAAUAUCCUAAAACAAAUUAAUAUGUAACAAGUAAAAUGUUAGAACUGAUCAAUCUAAAGUCCAACUCUUUGAAAACAUGAAAGAUGGCUGGGCACAGUGGCUCAUGCCUGUAAUCCCAGCACUUUGGGAGACCGAGGCGGGAGGAUCACCUUAAGUCAGGAGUUCGAGACCAGCCUGACCAAUAUGGAGAAACUCCGUCUCUACUAAAAAUACAAAAUUAGCCGGGUGUGGUGGUGUAUGCCUGUAAUCCCAGCUACUCGGGAGGCUGAGGCAGGAGAAUCGCUUGAACCUGGGAGGCAGAGAUUGUGGUGAGCUGAGAUCGCACCAUUGCACUGUAGCCUGGGCAACAAGAGCAAAAUACCGUCUCAAAAAAAAAAAAAAGUAAAAAAAAAAUAAAAGACAAAUCUCACACAAAGCAAAAGAAAAAAACUAAGAAACACAAAUAGCUAAUACCAUAGAGAAAAAUUUUAAAGAGUGAAAUUAACAGACUAUUUACAAAGAACUCAAAAGCAGGCCGGGCGCGGUGGCCCACGCCUGUAACCCCAGC